GAGGCUGCGCGGGCGGCCGCGGCCUCCUGCGCCCCGGCCCGCGCAUGCGCCCCGGGGCCUGCCCCGCGCGGGCGUCGCGGCGGCACCAGCCGCAGCCCCGGCGCCGCCCGGACCCCAAAGCUGCUCGGCCGUACGCUAGGGUGCGAAAAGAAAAAAGAAAAAAAAAAGCAAAACUGUUUGUUGUACGCCUUUGGGAGGCAGCCCCGCCUUUGUUCCUGGCCGAUUCGGCGGUUUCCCGGCGCUGGAAGCGGGAGCCGAGGCGGCAGGGACGCAUCACUGAGCGUCCCCGAUGUUUUCUGAGCGCUGGGCGCCGAGGGGAGCCCGGGCCUGCCUGCCGCCCUCUCUGAGCCUGACCUCCCCGUGGGGGUGGGGGACUUCUCCCAGGAGGAAAUGAAGACACAGUUAGAAGCUGAGAGCAGUUGCUACAGUGAAGAGAAGACCCCACCUCUGCCCAAGGACAGUAGCUGGUGCCGAGAACCAGGGCUUCAGAACCAGAGUGUCCCGGUGAUGAAUCCCAGCUGGGGGCCCCCUGAAGCUUGAGCACCUGGAUGAUAGGGACAAUGCAAUGCCCACCUCCCACGUUGUGAUCAUUCCUCGAAGUGAUGUAUCAAAGCUCUUAGCAGCAGCUGGCAUGGAGUGAGAAGACAGGGCCUCAGACGGGUGAAGCCACUUGCGGAGGAUCACAAGGCUGGAAGGUGGCACAGAACACAAGGAUACCGGGAGAGAGGACAUCUUGGGGGCUCUGAGACUGGACUGUGCAGACCCACCUCAGCCAAGCUUUCUAGACGACCUCCCCUCCCGGCCGACGUGUACAAAGAAGGGGGUGCCCUGUGUUCUCCCCUGCGAUUCUAAAAUUUCAAGUAGGGUGAGGAAGCUCCUAAUCAACCCACUGCCACCCUAGUCCCUGGGAUCUGCCCUCGACACCCGUAAUGUCCCCAGUUGAGACCCAGGUCCAGUCCAGCUGGCCCAGAUGGUAAACAACAAGCUGAGAUGGGGUCAGGGGCAGAGUGCUGGGCCAGGAGGCAGGGUCAGGUCCUGACUGUGUCACGCGGUGUGUGGCCCCGGGAACAUGACCUCCCAGAGUGGUCCUUCAGCUCGGCUGAAAUGCUUUGGAGGCCGCGGGAGACCUCAGCCACUGGGACAUUACUCUUAUUGUUAUUGUCACGUUGUUACUACAGAGGAAGCAGGUUUAGAGUGACUGGCUUUGGCCGGUGCUGUUCAUUCAGUGGCUACCAUUUGCUCCUUCCCUCACUCAGCAAAUGUUUAUUCCUGUGACCUGCACCGUGUGCUGGGCCCCUGGCCAGGGACAAGAUCAGACUAGAUCUGAAGUCUGGGGAGAGUGGUGAACAGGUGUCACCUCGAUCACCAGCUCUCAGUGGGUGAAAGCCGUAUUGAGAAGCGUGUGUUGAGAAGGAUUCCGAGGCUGCAUCUGGGCUGAGAGAGUGCUGUGAUCAAUUAGUAAUGUCUGCCACGAACACAGGAAGGGGAGCAUCAGCCAAGGCUUUUGCCAGUCUUAACACGGAAGAACAGGAAGGACCUCAGACAGGAGACCCUCGUGACCGUGGCUGGCCUGCUACAUGGACUUGGCUGGCUGCCCCCCAGGAGAGGAGAAGACCCAUAGACCUUGGUUUUGACCUUGAGGAAAUGGAAAAACUUGGACCUUAAAGACAGCAGAUUACCGUGGCUAAGCUGUGGGCAGGCUGUGUGACCUCGGGCAUGUUCUCUAACCUCUCUGAGCCUCAUGCCCUGCUGAGGAUUCCAUGAGAUCACAAUUGUACCGUGCCGAGUAGACCUCCUGGCCUGCACCAAACUCUCAAGGAGCUUUCUUAUGACGAGGGAGCAGGUGAGCCUCCCCUCGAACAAACACAACCGACGAACUGUGUUCUCAUGUGGACAUGGCAAUGGCCCUUCCCUUUUUAAGCUGUGGUGAAAUCCUCCAUGUUGUAAAAGGAACCCUUGCAGGCUUAUCUGGGUACAGGUGAGGAGACCAGGGGAACAUCCUGCUCUGCUCCUAGAAGCUGUGACCACGGGAGAGGGACUUGGGGCUCUGGGCCUCAGCUUGCUCAUCUGCAAAGUGGGGACACUGGCCCUUCCCCUCCCAGGGCCGCUGUGGGGCUCAGUGAAAGAACUUAAGGGCACAGGACCUGGUGACCACAAGCCUGGAACCCCAUCUUUUUCACAAACUAAGGAUGCCUGUUAUGGAGAAAGUGCUCGCUUUUUGAUUGUAGGGUUGGCCCAGGAGACUUGGUUUCUGUCCUAGGCUUCCUGGGAGAAAUACAGUCUAGAGCUCCGGGGUUGAGCGAGCCUGGUUCCUUGGACCGGGAAGCCCUGCCCAGCAGCCCCUCCUGCCACAGCCUGGUCACUAAUCACCACUGGGCCUGGCUUCCUCCCCACCCCCUGGAAGUGCGUGAUCUGUGGCUCCUCCCACCCCCUCCCUGCAGGCGCUGCCUGGCUGCCCUUUUCUGAGGGGCUGGAGGGGGGCUGGGGGUGCACAUUUUCCAGGCUCUUGUUCCCUGGCAGCUCCGAAAAUUAAUUGGCCUUUAAUGUGGAAUAGUAUUUAUUUUAAUUAGCAGGAAAUUGACUAAUUUCUUAAUAAGGGGCUUUAUGGAAGCUCCGCAUUUGGGCUGGGUGGUCCGUAUGAGUUGGGGGGAUUUGUUUGAGCGGGACUAGUGAGAGCCUGCUGGUGAGGAGCCCCCUGCCUGUGGGUUCAGUCAGGAGGUGGUGAGAGGAGAGGACUCUGGUCCAGGGGACCCACAGAAGCCCAGGUGACUUGGCUACAGGCCUGUCAGGGGUCUGACAGCCUUGAAUUCUCCCUUUGAUUUUGGUUUAUUGGGGUCCUGGGAAUAGAUCACUGAUCCCCAGGUAUGGCUGUGCCUCUUGGCUUUCACAACACCCGCUCCCCAUUUGAGGAACUGACAGAGUAAAUCAGCAGGGAUUUCUUAAAGGACCUUUUCUUUGGUCUGACGGCAUCACUGAGGUCCCCCUAGCCUGUGUGGCACCCUGGUCAUGAUACCCCACUUUACAAAUGUGGGAGCGGAGACUGAGAGGGGCGCUGUGUUUUGCCUCAGCCUCCCAGAUAGUCCCCACUCACCCCCACCGCUACCCCGUGAUGGCCCCGCGGGAGGCUGCCCUGACCUCCCUGGAGCUCGGGGGCCCCAUCCAGCUCUGAAGCACCCUGCACCUUUCCUUCGGGGCCUAUUGGCAGUGACAAUGACCGUGUCCAGUGUGCUACCUGGACUGUCAGUCCCCUGAGGGCAGGUACUGAGUCUGUGUGCUCAGCUUCAUACCCCAAAGCAGGCACGGGGUAGGUGCCCAUUGUGUGUUAAGGGGAAUGAUGGAGUCAGAACCGAAAACAACCAGCCAUGCCACCUAGUCAAGAACUGUGGCCGCCCCUCUGCGUUGCAGUGUCCUCAUGACUUUAUACCUCAAAGUCCUGAUGGGGGGGACUCGCCCUCUCACCCUGACUGCCUAACUCACCCUCAGGGAGUGACCUUCCCCCCUUCUCAUUUCCUAGGGGUCUGACUCAGGAGCACGCGUGCACACCCGGCCCAUUUGGGUAAAGGGGAGGAGGAGGCUUAUUCCCUCACCAGCCUGGAUCCAGAAGGGGCUGGGCUGGGUGGUCUCCCAGCGGCUCAGCCUCUGAGCACCAGGGGGGCCGAGCUGCCCACUGCUGUCAGAUCUGGUGGCCUCGCUGAAGGGCUCUCUAGGGAUCUGCUCCAGCCACUAGCUGGGGAGAAUGAAGCCAUGACCUCCCUGUCCCCUCCCAGGAAAUCCAUCCCCAUGUCUCCUACUGGCCCAGGCCCCACUGAGCUGCUCAGUCCAGAGACAUCCCUGGGUUCCUCAGCCCCUCUGCCUGGACUCGGACCCACGAGGUUCCCCACUGAUUUCUUUAAACCCAUUUACACAGUGCCUUCUCUGAACCAGGAAUUGUUCUAAGUACGUUAGAGAUAUUUAUCCUCAGUAUGAAGUAGGUGCCAUCGUGUCCCCAUUUUACAGACAGGGAAACUGAGGCACAGAGGACACGUGACCGACCCACUUCCCCUCAGGCUCUCGCUGCCGCCUUCUGGGGUGAUGAAGUUAGUUUCUGCAGGCUUCUUGGGUGUCUUCUGUGUCCCACUCGCCAGGCUGCAUCCAGCCCGCGCGCCUUUGUGCGCACAGGUUCCCUCCCCCACCCCGCCUGAUGCUGGCAGGAGGGAUGGCGGGGGCAGACGGUGGCACAGCGGUCCCUGGCACGCUAGAGGCAGCAAGCACGGGGCCCCUGGCACCCGCCACACCUGGCCUUGAUUUGGAUCGGCCGCGUGCAGCUGUGUGGUCCUGGGCACAUGACUUCACAUCUCUUCACCAGCCUCCUGAGAAUGGGGAGCAAAGCUAUUGUUCCAAAGGUUGUAACAAGAAAUAAACAAGCAGACCUGUGUCAAGGGCCCAGCAUGGUGGCCAGGAGCAAUUUGGGAUGAAUAAAGUUCAUAUUCUCUCCUUCUCCUCCCCAACUUGUCCUUCGAAGCUCAGUUUUCCCAGAAGCCUUUGCCCCCUUUCCAAGGCAGAGUCCCCAGUGACAGGUGUCCCCAGAGCAAUUUCUGUCUGUGUCACUCAGCCUGGUGCCUGGUCAUGUGCACUCUGGCCCCUGGGCCCUCGGCGCCCCGGGGGCAGAGGGGAGCCCAGGCCAGAGGAAGGCAGGGACUCUGCUGGGAAUAGAGCCGGCAUUCUGCGCUCAUUCACUGGUGAGAAUUGAGCACACUAAAGCACCUACUGUGUGCCAGACACUGAGAAUGAGACAGCCUCCAGGAACGCCCCCCAUGGGGCUGGGGGAGAGGCAGACAAGGGAACUGGCCACCUAGACUCGGGGGUCAUCGGGGCUGGGAUCAGCGGAGGUGGGGGGCUGACCCAGCUGGAGAGUCAGGAGGCUUCGGGAAGAAGUGACAUCCAAACUGAGGCUGGUGGCUGGAGGGAGGCAUGUGAGUGGGGUGCAUUCCAGGCAGAGGGGGUGUGAGGCAAGCGUGGCCCUCAGGAGACGAUGUGGGUCAUGGUCAUGGUCAUGAGUCCCUCUGGGUGCCGGUGCUGACAAAGGUGAACAAAAAAAGCUGGUCCUUGAUGCUCCCCCACCCCAUUACAUCCCAGUGCUGGAUGGAGAAGAGCAAACAUCAACCAAGUAAUCAAAUAAAUAAACGAGAUCAUCACAGAGAGGAAGAGUGAGUGAAGCCACUGAACUGGGGAGGUGGGGAGAGGAAGAUACAGUGGCAGCCCGGAGCUGGGACUUUCUCCCAGGGUUGGUGGGAGCCGCGGAGGCUGGAGCAGAGAGCUGCAUGAAUGGAGAGCCUUUUCCACGACUCCUAGCGCCAGAUGCAGUAGGAGGAAAGACCCAAGGCAGGGCUGAUGGAGUAUCCAGGCAAGGGAUGGUGGCUUGGGUCAGGCUGGCGGCCAUGAGACUGAGAGAAGAGAAGAGGGUGGAUCUGAGAAUGCUCUAGGAGGUGAAGGGACAGGUGUGAGGAUUAUAGCUGGGAGGGUUGGGGAUGAGGCUGACCCCGGAUUUCUAGACCAGGCCUUGGGGUGACAACGAUGCCAUUUGCUGGCAUGGAGAGCCUAGGGACAUUGAUGAGCUCAGCUUGAGCUUGUCCAGGAUCAGGUGCAGGAGACAAUCUUCGAGGGAAGCAUCCAAGACCAGGGCGGAGGCGGAGCCUGCAGCCGUGGGGGUGGUUGGGGGAGCAGCCCGAGGGUCCUGCCAGAUUCUGCCUUUCUCAAAGGAAAAUUUAUGUCAUUCAUCCCUUCUAGUGUUUCUGACUCAUCCCAGAGCGUCUGCAACAUAAAACAUUCUAGAAUCUUGAAGACUUUUCCUCUGGGUUUUCCGAGUCCUUCAAAGUGCCCUUCCUUGCUCACACAUUCCUUCCAUUGGGACGCAUGGGUCAAAGGCUCCGAUUCAGGAAGGAGAGAGGCUGUUUUCUCCUGAUCCAGUUGGAAGCAAUGCUUGGGCCCGAGGACAGCUUGUCAGCCCCUCCCAGGCAGGCUGAUAAAUGCCGACCGAGCCCCCCUGCACCAGAGCUGCCUUAAUUGGUAUCAGGACGUGUCUGGACUCCAUCCUCCCGGCCCCUGCCUUCCUCCCCUCCUGCUGCAGCCUCCAGCCCGCAGUCCUCCACCCCCAACAGGGCUCGCCUGCUGCCACAGCCCCAGGAGGAGGGUGUGAGGCCAGUAACAGCAUUUAUGUGGCACCUACUGUGUGCCCAGCCUGUGCUGACAAACCCUCUGGCCGCCCUCAUGCAGCCCUGCGAGCUGGGGCUCACUCUCCUUCCUGUCUGCACCCGCAGGACCUGUUUCUCGAGCCCUCUGCGUGCCUGCCCACCCCCCACCCCGAGGCUGGGUGUUGGGGACCCACAACAGGUGAGAUAGACAAGGAUGCCUGCCCCCAGUGAGGAAGGGGCUUAUUCCCGGACAACUGGCCUGGUAGGGCUUGCCCAUUUUAGGACGUUCAGAGAGGUUCGGCAACCUGCCCAAGAUCACACAGCUAGAAAAGGAGGCAGAGAGAGGCAGGUUGCCUUCAAAACAAUCAAUCACAUGACUAGGUCAUGAUCUCGGGGUCCUGGGAUGGGGCCCCACAUGGAGCUCCCUGCUCAGCAGGGAGCCUGCUUCUCCCUCUCCCUCUGCUGCUCCCCCUGCUU